UAUAGAUAUAGAUAUAGAUAUAGAUAGAUAGAUAGAUAGAUUGAUAGAGAUAUAUAUAGAUACAUAAUAUAUAUAGUUUUCUUUUAAUAUUUUUUUCUUGGUUUUCUUGUUUUGUCAUACAGGCCGGGCAGUUCCCAUCACUAUACGAGACUCAAGUCCGCUCAUUUUAUUUCUUUUUCUUCAAUAUUAUCACAGAUUGGCAACUGGCGAUGGACUGGGAAGGACAAAGGAAAGGGAGAAGGUGCAGGGAGGGAGGGAACGAGGCUGUGACGUGGAGAGGGGGUCAAGGGAAGGAAAGACAAGACGUGUUAUGAGGUUAGUGUGAGAGAAGGGCGGAAAGAACAGGGAGGUAAGGGAGAAGGAAAGAAGUGAUAUGAAGGAAGAAACAGCUGGGUUAGUGUUGUGUAUGUGUGUGUGUGUGUGUGUGUGCGUAUGGGAGAGGGUGAGAAGAUAUGAGGUUAGUGUGAGAGAUGGAUGGAAAGAACAGGGCAGAGAAGGGAGGUAAGGGAGGAGGGAAGAGCCGAAGAGGUUAUAUGAAUGAAGAAACAUUGGGGUUAGUGUUGUGUAUGUGUGUGUGUGUGUGUGUGUGUGUGUGUGUGUGUGUGCGUAUGGGAGAGGGUGAGAAGAUAUGAGGUUAGUGUCAGAGAUGGCUGGAAAGAACAGGGAAAAAGGGAAGGAGAAGGGAAGUGAGGGAAAUAGGAAGAGUUGAGGUGAAGAAGCAGAUGGGUAAGGAGGCAAUGUGUGUAUGUGUGUGUGAGAGGGUGAGGUCACGUGAGGUCAAGAGGGAAGGAGAAAAGAAUCUUUGGUGCCACUGAAAGCCAUGAAAAAAGCAGGUGAAAGAAAUGAGUGCAUGGUCUGAUAUGAAUGAAAGAAAAGAUCACAAACUGGAGAUUCUGGUUGCCAGGUACACACACACAUCCACACUUACACACAUAAACACACUCACUCAAAACACUAUCAAGAUCUGGACGCGUACAAACACAGGCAGACAACAUGUAUUAGAUAAAUAAAUAAAUAACAUAUAAGCGAGAUUUCUUCCUCAAUAAAAUGACCUCUGAGGCGUAUUUCCAAACGGACGACGACAAGUACAAACAAUCGUAAGCUGCCGAGAGAGAUUCAAUUAUUACGACUCAACCGAUGAAAGAAAUUAUUAUAAAAACUACCUUAAACUAACAUCACAUAACGUGGAAAGAUGAUUUAUGCAAAGCACGAACAGACAAAAAUAUAACGACACUGGUAAUGAUAAUAAUGAUAAUAAUAAUAAUAAUAAUAAUAAUAAUAAUAAUAAUAAUAAUAAUAAUAUGACGAUGAGGUACGAAUAUCAUGGUGCUGGAAUACUGGAGUGCAAUGCGUAAAUGCCGUGAGUGAGAUUAUUAAGCCUGUAUUUUUAAAUGUAUCAGGCUUCAGUUUGCCUAUUUUAAAAGCCUCUAUGACAGAGGUGUCAAACUCAUGGCCUGCGGAAUGGUCUUAAGUGGCCCGCGAGGUGAUGAGAUUCUUCAGCUCGAGUUACUAGAAUUGUUACAGUUGAGGAAAAUACUAAACUGUUAAGACGAGACAUAAUAACAUUUACCUUUUAUUCAUAUGACUGAUUUAUUUCAUAUUCAUAUUCAAACUUCAGUCUUGCCAAUAUGUAAUUACCAAAUCUUUGAAGGCCCUCGAGAUCACAACCAAGUGUAUAAUUGGCCCUCGUAAGGAUUUGAGUUUGACCGCUGCUCUAUGAGAAGUUGCUGGGAUUUUCGUGGACUGUUUUGUGAUGCCAGUGAUAGUUUUACACGACCACUGUAUCUUGAAUGUAAAAAACACCCAUGAAAACCUGGUUAAUCUUCUCUGUGGCCUUGGGAAAUACAAGUUGCUGGGAUUUUCAUGGACUGUUUUGUGAUGCCAGUGAUAGUUUUACACGACCUCUGUACCUUGAAUGUGAAAACCACCCAUGAAAACCCAGUUAAUCUUCUCUGUGGCCUUGAGAAAUAGUCAUAAUGGGAACCCGAUACAUUUAAGAAUACAGACCUAUGGAAAUAAAUAGAUGGAGCACGUCAACACUUGGUCCGAGAAAUAAUUAAACGGUACAUUUACGGAAACACCAAAAAUAUUGUGACAUGUAUCUGCAAACAUGUAAGUAGCUGCAUCGCACACACACACACACACACACACACACACACACAAGCUAACCCUAUCUCCUCUACUUCAUGGGAAAAGAGAACAAAAUUAAUGUAAGUGGGAUGUAGCCAAUUUUUAUAAGGCACCUUUGAAAUCCCGGAUCAUUAGUGUUGGCCUGAAUGAUGCAAAUGUUACUGACCUUUGUUUUGAUGUUGCUGAAACUUGAUAGACAGAUAGAUAGAAAGAGAGAGAGAGAGAGAGAGAGAGAGAGAGAGAGAGAGAGAGAGAGAGAGAGAGAGAGAGAGAGAGAGAGAGAGAGAGAGA